CCUGCCGCUCCUUUGUGCUGAGAAAAGAGGUGGAUCCAAAUGGCAGGCCUUCAUCAUGGCUUAAGAAUGAACUCGAACAAAUCUGAUGUGAACUAUCAGAAGUCAAUGGUAUCCAGUGAAGAACCCAGUUAUAUAAAAAGACCGGACCAAACGAGAGGUCUCAUCUCAUGUAUCCCCGAACACUCACUGGCACCAGUUGCGGGUUUCCUGGCCCCUGUCUCACACUCUUGGAUGAAGUUAGGUCAUCGAGCUUCGUGACACAUCAGCCACAUUUUCUUUUGGAAUCGUCUCAACAUUGUCUUCGUUUUUGUGAUUCCUAAAAGAUUUGCAGAGUGCAACAAAUGAUCUCUCUCUCUCUUUUGUCCGUCACACUGGUAGUUUUGGAUUGAUGUUAGCUGCUAAUAUUAGCUAACACAGAGACAGGUGAAGCACUCAUCUGACCAGAUCUGAGCUUCACCCCUGUUGCCUUGGACUUGGAGAUCUGCUCUGCAGUGAGUUUGUCACUGUUGAUGUACACUUUAUUCUGCUCUAAAUUUGCCCCUUUAGUACCCCUCCAACUGAACCCCUCCUGUCCUCCUCUCCCCAACCCCCUCACCG